rnacentral:misc_RNA from 1 species
GAUGAAGAACGUAGCGAAAUGCGAUAAGUAAUGUGAAUUGCAGAAUUCAGUGAAUCAUCGAAUCUUUGAACGCACAUUGCGCCCGCCAGUAUUCUGGCGGGCAUGCCUGUCCGAGCGUCAUUUCAACCCUCGAACCCCUCCGGGGGGUCGGCGUUGGGGAUCGGCCCUGCCUCUUGGCGGUGGCCGUCUCCGAAAUACAGUGGCGGUCUCGCCGCAGCCUCUCCUGCGCAGUAGUUUGCACACUCGCAUCGGGAGCGCGGCACGUCCACAGCCGUUAAACACCCAACUUCUGAAAUGUUGACCUCGGAUCAGGUAGGAAUACCCGCUGAACUUAAGCAUAUCAAUAAGCGGAGGA